UUAAUCCCUAACUGUGAAAUGACUAUUCUACCCCUAGGCUUAGAAAUAAUUCAAUUUUGCAUGCUCCCUUAAUUUUAGGACAUGUUAGUAUUUGAUUAAAUGAGCUUCAUGUGGAGUUUGAGCUUCUGUUUUGGAUUUUUUAUCCUCUUUUGACCCUAGGCUUCGACCUAGUGGUUUGGACUUAUCAUUUGAAUUGUGAUUUCAGGUUCAAGAAUACAUCUCCAUGAGUGAUGAUGCUCCUUCAUUUGAGCUUAACCAUUUGUUGUUGUUGGCUAACCAUUGUGUUGUUUUGUAGGCUUUGAGAACAAAUUCACUUGUGCUUGUGCCUUGCUCAUUGUCUGAUGAUGCUUUGUCUGNNN
rnacentral:lncRNA from 1 species